GGAAAUUCAAUCAAAUAUUUCACAGUUCGAAUUGAUUUUUUCGGUCCGGUUUAGUGUACCAGACCUAAAUAGCUUCAAGGUGGCAAUUGUCCGGAUUACCUCUUUCCGCCACGGUUCAUCUCCAUCACCGCCUUGUCAGUCACACACACUCUCUCUCUCUAGCAAACCCUAAAGAGGAGCUCUUCAUGGGAAGAGUCUCUAUGACAAGAUUCAAACGUUUCCUGCCCAAGCUAAAAAAAGGUUUAUCGAUCAGGUUACUCGCCGAAUUGUUCCACAGCCAAAUGAUGUAGCACUAUACAUUGAACAAGGAGGUGAGCCGAUGCGAAACGAAUAUCUGAAGAUUGUUCAUGAACUUCUUCUACAUAACCCAUACAAUGGAUUCUAUCCUCCAAUCAAAGCUCCCAGCCGAUUUAAUGUAGAAGUUCCUAUGUUUAUUCACAAGAUGAGGCGUUGGGGUCUUGCUCAUGCCCACUUGGAUGAUGUCUUGGCACAUAUCAAGGAAACACUCUAUUGUUACCCGUGGAUGAAAUCCGAACCAGUGACAAAUCUGCUCAACUUUGCUGGUGAUGUUUACUAUAUCUACAAGGGAAAAUACUUCAAAGCUUUUAUCACCAUUUAUCUCCCAGAGUCUUAUCCUAACGAUCCUCCUCAAGCGUGGGUAGUCUGCGAAGACGGUACUACGGCAAUCGACCCUGUGCUCCCAAUGGUAGCGUCAGUAUUCCAUAUCUAUGGGAUUGGGAUGGCAAGAGUUCCACGCUUUUACAAUUUAUCUUGCAUAUGUCCGUUGAAUUUACUUCACAGCCACCUACCUUCGCCAUUGAUGUUGGCAUCAAUUUAUCUCCUAAUCAGAGGGAGUUAUUGAAGAUCAUACUCGACUACAGGAUCACGCAUCUCUACGAUGAAAUUAUCACCCGCAAGGACAUAUGCUUUCUUCGAUGAGGUUGCUAAACGAUAUCCUCCGGUUUUAGCGGAUCUAGCUGCCCACAUCAGGACUAGCCAAAGAGGUGUGAAUGAAUUCAUUGACAUUGUGGCAGAGUUACUUGGACAACCUUCCAAGACCAUAAGUACAGUGGAUGUUGCGGAUCAUCGUUUCCUCCCAUGAGUGAGAGUCGCUGAGAGUAGUUAAAGCGUUGACGUAACGCUUGUCGUUCUAUCUAGCAAUUAUUUUAAGUUUAUUUAACGCCCGUAGUUGUUUCUAAUCUAAGACAUGAUAAGCUUUUCUUGUGUUUUAUUAUUAUCCCCAAAGAUUCUGUACCAUGGUGCCGUAGCUGUGGCUCAUAAACUCUUUUAAUUAUUAGUAUGUUUUCCUACUGUCUGUUGACCUGAACAGCGCUUAGGGUUAUUAUGUGUGUUGGUGGAUCGUUCAUUGAUUUAACAAAGGUGUCUCACCGGUUAAGGAAGAACAAGAUCAGCUGUCCAGAACAAUUGCAUCAGCGAGUCACAGCAGUAACCUGUUUCUUCAUCAAGCUUGAGACGGCACAUUAAGGCUUGUGGAAGGACAAGGUGCACCCACGGUUGGUUCCAGCUGUCCACACCAUGAGCAUGAGCGUCACAGUCAAGGUAACCACAAAACUUAGUUUGGUAGCCAUUUUCUCUGAAGAUUGAUAUGCUUGAGAUUUGUUUGUGUUUGGUGAUAACCGUAGAGAGUUUAGUUUAUAUAGAGACACUUGGGGCCUUGACUGUUACAUGUAAAUGGUAGAAUGAAAAGGCUAAAGUAAUUACAUAGGAAACUCGUUAA